UACGUAGGGUGCAAGCGUUGUCCGGAAUUAUUGGGCGUAAAGAGCUCGUAGGCGGUCUGUCGCGUCGGCUGUGAAAUCCCGGAGCUCAACUCCGGGUCUGCAGUCGAUACGGGCAAACUGGAGUACUGCAGGGGAGACUGGAAUUCCUGGUGUAGCGGUGAAAAUGCGCAGAUAUCGGGAGGAACACCGGUGGCGAAGGCGGUUCUCUGGGCCAUUACUGACGCUGAGGAGCGAAAGCGUGGGGAGCGAACAGG
rnacentral:rRNA from 1 species